UACGUAGGGUGCAAGCGUUGUCCGGAAUUAUUGGGCGUAAAGAGCUCGUAGGCGGUCUGUCACGUCGGCUGUGAAAACCUGGGGCUCAACCCCGGGCCUGCAGCCGAUACGGGCAGACUAGAAUUCGGUAGGGGAGACUGGAAUUCCUGGUGUAGCGGCGAAAUGCGCAGAUAUCAGGAGGAACACCGGUGGCGAAGGCGGGUCUCUGGGCCGAUAUUGACGCUGAGGAGCGAAAGCGUGGGGAGCGAACAGG
rnacentral:rRNA from 1 species